rnacentral:rRNA from 1 species
ACAGCCAUAUCCCGUUGAAAUAUCGAUUCCAUUAUGAUCACCGAAGUUAAGCAACGUCGAGCCUGGUCAGUACCUGGAAUGGGUGACAGCUUGAGAAUACCAGGUGCUGUUA